ensembl:lncRNA
GCCCGGCCGGCCGGCCUGCUCUGUUUUUGUUUUGAUUGAGCCCGCGUGCAGCUGGCGCGUGUCGAGUCACGUGCCGUGGGCGGGAGGGGGCUGGGGCGCGGGAGCGGGGGCGCGGUGACGCACGCGUCCGGAGGGCCCGGCGCCCGCGGGGGCCGGGGGAGAGGGGCGAGGGGGCGUGUGCCCCAGACGAUCCCGGGCGCGCCGGUGUCAAGGCGCGUCCGGCGGGGUCCAAGGGAGGUGAUGCCGGUGAGCAGGGCUCGGACGUGGGUGUAAAUCCCCGCGCUUGGAGUCCGUGGUCACAGCGUCUGGGCGAGCCUCCUGCGUCCGGGCCGGCCUGCGCUGAUUCGGUCGGAGGUCUCUCAGACCUCACCGGCGCGGCGCUCUCUUUGGCUGGCAGAGAACUACGCGUGGUUCUUAAUCCUGUUUAUACAUACAAGCAACUGAAUAGCUUCAGAAAGAACUCCGAUGCCCGGCCCCGUUCCAGACCAGUGGAACCCCAAUCUACCCCGGGCCUGGACAUGGUGCAUUAGAAAAAAGACCUCCCUGAGUAUUUCUGAUGCACAGGGAGGGGGUCAGAACUUAUCGAAGUAACCAGCUUGAUGGAAUAGAUAGUUGUGAAACCACCCAUCUUUAGAGACGAAAUAGUAAAAAUAGCUAACACGUAUUGAUCGUCAUUUUACAAUUGGGGAAAUUGAGGCUUAGGAGGUAAGAAAGAAUUGGUCAGUGACGAUCUCUGACUAGUACUCGGGGAGGCUGACUCCAGAACCCGUGCUUUCAGCCAUGCUGUCUUGGAAAUAGGUCUUUACCUAAGGGCCACAUGUUUGCGUGAAUAGCAAUAGUUAUAUGUUUGCCUGCAGGCCAGCGAGUCUGUAUACAGUAUUUACCUAUGUAUUUAUGUAUUUUCAUCUGGAAAGUUGUGCUUGUACUAAAGCGGGGAGAAUCACUUGGUGAAUUUGUUAAGGUAUGUAGGCUACUAACGUUUUCAGGAAGUUUAUAGUGAAGAGAAGAGAGGGGACCCCAGUAAUUUGAAAAGAACACAUUCCAUGGGAGUUUUUUGUUUUGUUUUUAGACGUAAACAUGUGCAAAGUGAAGGGAAGAGUCGAGAAGAUUCAGGUAUUUUCCAAGGAUUUGCAUACGCAGCCGCAGAAGUCCUUUCCGUUGCUGGCACGAUACAAUCUUGUGGUCAUAGGCUGGGUGUAGCCCAAAGUGGGGGGCAGUCUACAGAGGAGCAGAAGCUUUGCCGUGAACAUUUGGGAGCAAAAUAACUAUUACUCUGGUGUAGAGUACAGAAGUUCUGCUUCUACAUUCCUCUUCUCCCUUUGCUUUAUUUCAUUUGUGUCCUGGUCAGAUGAACUCUUACAGGGACUAUUUAGAUGUGAGGGUAACUCAUCUGUUCUGAACAUGUGUUUAUUGAUAUAUUCUCUAAAGAUAUUCCAAAUAAAACUCACAGGAAACAGGUCUUUCCCUGAAAACAAAGGGCUCCUAUUACCGUGUUUUUGCAACCAAUACGUAUUAUUAGAUGAUACUGUGUCACAAAGAAAUGUCUUUGUAUUCCUACUAAUGGUUGCUGUCUAAUAGUGUUAGCUGUGUGGCAGACAUAGGCAUGUUACUUGGGAAAUUUAAGGAUUGGUUUUACGGUGCUUGCAGUUUGGGUGAGCAAAGUUUGUAGACCCACCAGGGCAAGCCUGACGUAAGCAUGAGUGUUGGCAGUCUGGCAUGGAAACAGCUCUCCAACCCCGUCUCCUUCCCUCCCUUGUCAUCCGCGUCCCUCUUGACCACCAAAGCCACAUUUCUCCGGCAUUGCCAAACCACCCGUAUUUCCUUUGCACAGCUCUGCCUAGGUUGCUCGUGGGUACCUCCUUCAGGAAAUUUUCCCUGAUUUCUCCUCAGAAAACAUUGAAAAAUCCCUUCCCUGUGUCACCUCUGUGUCCUGUGCAUGUUUGUCUCACUGCAUUUAUCACGACCUGUCAUAUUGUUUUUGUUGACACGUUGGACACCCCUACUAACUGAGCUCAUCAAAAUUGGAAAUGGGGAUUAUUUAUCUGUGUGUGUCUGACACACAGUAGGUUCUUAAGUUCAUUGCGUCGGUCUGAACUGAAUUUGAGUUGCAUUAUUUGUGUUGAUAUUUGCCUGUGUCACCCGUCUUCGUUCUUAACUGUCUUCACCUCCUCUGCUACUAGCUACUAGGCUGAAAACCCACAUCCUUGCACAGAGAACGCAGAAUACCACCAACACAUUCUUGUAAAAAGAGUAGGAGGGAGAGGGCAAAAUGGAAUCAGUUUUUCACUUGUGUCCCAAUUUUGUUCUUGACUGACCAGUUGGGUGGCAUGAAUUUUCUUGGUUACUCAUGCACACUGGAAGAGAUACUUAAUAUUGUCACGUUCAACUUAUUUAGGAAGGAAGAAAUGGCGCUGCGUUACCGAUGGACAUACGUCUGUGUGCAGUGGCAGAAUACAGACUCUUCGUCACAUUUCAUUACCCCAUAAUAUUCAGGUUUGGUAUUACAGAGCUAUUUGUACUGUCCCAUUAGAGCUUUCUGAGAUGAUAGAAAUGAUUUAUAAUGAGGUGUUUGUAAUGACUUAGAAGUGAUAGCCACUAGUCACUUGAGGCUGUUGAGUACUUUAAAUGUAACUAGUGUGACAUAGGAACUGAAUUUCUAAUUGAUUUAAAUGGAAAUAGCCACAAAUGGCUAGUGGAUACUGUACUGGACAGCACAAUUAGAGAGGACUGAUUAUGUUUAAGUUUAGUAUUUGACAGGUAAAUGUUUAGGCCAAGGUCUUCUGCCUUUAAAAGAAAAUCUUGGUUCAUUUUCUGGGGCUUAACACUGUGUGUCUGGUUCAUAGAUUAUAAGGUGUUUACUGGGUGCUAUUUUGACCUAUGUGAGGCCUUCAUAUUACAGAGCGUUUGUCUGUGUGUUCUGUGAGCUUUUCAUGUAGUUCAUGUGGUCUCCCUUUUUUAGGAGCAGAGUGGAGUGAUGACGAGUAAUUAUGAUUAUGAAUAAUUAUUUACAAAUCAAAUGGAGUUGAGCCCUUGGCGUGUAAACUGAAUGGAAGUCCCGUAAGUUCAGUCAACGCUUCUCUAAGAUGUCUUGUGAGGAGCAUGAGCUGUGUUUGUCUUGCUGGCUGUUGUCUCCCUCGUGCCUCAUAGACUGCCUGAUGCCCGGCGAGUGCUCAGAAAUGUUUGUUGAAUGAAAGAAUGUUGAAAUAAUUUUAACCCCUCUAAUUUAACUUCAGAGGGUAUAUUGUGGAGCUGAAGAGGAGGCUGAGGACCAGUAACUUCACUGAAUUUACAGUCCUUCCAAGGAAGGCCAUCUCUCCAGAGCAUUAUUGUUAAUUCAGUGACUCUCAUUUCUUUCCUGUAAAGUAUGUAGCAGGGAUUAUUACCCUUCUUUGACGACGAAUUGAAAAAUAAAGGUACAAAAUUUGGUCAUAGAGGUCAUCCACAGAGAGUUGGAAGUGUAAGUCAGAAAGAAGUAGUUGUUUCUGUGGCCUUGUGUGCUCAUCCCUGGUUCUUCCGAGAAAUAAAAUCACACGCUGAACUGUAUUAGUUAGAAAAUUUGGUUUGUAAAGUCAAAGGUGACUAAACAUGUUAGUGGGGUUGGAAAACAGGGUUGAAAACAUCCCUAGUCUGGCAUGACAUUGAGAAAACAGCUUCAGUAUGAGAAACAGGAAUGGAAACGUUUAUUUCUGAAACCUCUAAAUCUCAAUCUGUGGUAAUCCUGACACCCAAGUUAUAAACUUCUCAAAGAGGAUAUUUAAAGUGUAAAUAGAAACAGAUGUGUAGUCGGGGAGAUAACCACUACUAGACUUUGAAAUAUUUAUAUAAAAAGGUACGAGAUACAUCAAACAUCUGUUUAGAACGAGAGCCCUAGGGCCGAAAAUUGUAGAUGUCGUUUCAUGUGGUCGAUGUUGCAUUGGUGGGUUGAUGACGCAGCCGAGUAUGUGGUCUUGUCCUUGUAGGAGAUGAUGCAUAGUGUACCCUCCGUGCUGUGCGUCAGAGGCACCUACUUCGUGGUGUUGUGUGUGGCUUGAUUCUAGGCCUGUCCUCGUUCCUGGGACACAGUCUAGCUUCCUAUCAUUCUGCCACUAUGUGUUCCACAAAUGAAAACUAAUUUUAUACAAGAGAAAAUAAAAAUCUGUUGACUUAAAAAAAAGUCAUAGGAUACAUUCCAAGAUAAAAUCUGAAGUUUUUUUUGGGGGGGGGAGGGUUACUUUGUUUUUUUAAUCAAUUUUUGGCCUAUUAGUCCUUUAUGAUUGCUUUUCAAAGCCUUUAAUGUGAACUCUUUGGUGGAGGGGGGAAAAGCCCCCAAAACCGAAAGCAGACUGUCAGCUAUGUCCCGUAAAUUCUUGCUGUUGCCCGCAAAACCAAACCGAAACAGCCAUAACAAGACAAAACCCACUACUGCUAUCAGCAACAGAAGUUAACCCAACCAGCCAAACAAACAGAGAAGCCUGUGAGCCCUGACUUGUUGCUUUUGUGGGGAGGUCAAUAAUGUGAAGUCUUUUUUCGGUACUACAUGUAAAUUACUCACAACAAGAAAAUUUGUAUCUGCCUGUCUGUCUAACUGUGACUUAAGAAGUAAUACUGCAGUAUAACAAGAUGUUUCCAGCCUGGGAAAUCCUGAGGGCCUGCUUGGAUUCAGGUGUACUGUUUAAGAAUUAUUUUGAAGGUUUAUUGAGAACUAUCUCUGGUGACCUUGGUCACUAACUUGAUCUAAGACUUGCAGUUUCUGGCUUCAUUUCUUUCUCAUCAAUGAGUGGCUGGAUUGAUCGGUGGUUCUCAGACUUUAGUGUGUAUGCGAAUCACCGAGGGCUUGUUAAAACCCAGAUUGCUGGACCCCCCCCCUGCAGUUUCUGACUCAGUAGGUCUGGGGCGAGUCUCAUCAUCUGCAUUUCUUACAAGUUUCCAGGUGAUGCUGAUGCAGCUGGUCAGGGGACCACAUUUUGAGAACCGCUGGAUUAGAUAAUCUCUUCUAAAGGGGUAUGAUUCUGUGCCUGUUUUUCCUUCUUUUCCAGUUGCAGCACCUGUUGUUUGAUUUCUGCACUGUUCCAUCGUUUAAGGAUUGCUGUAUGGCAAACUGAGUUUUAAAAGUAUCAGAUGGAUACAGAGUUUCUUGAGAAUUCCAUAUAUUUUGCAAAAACCUCUGGUCUGUUAAAACUCAGAUUGGGUCUUCUUACUUAAGUAGAGUAGAUGUCUCCAGUUAAAAUAUAUUGACGUAUUUCUGUUGUUAUUAAAUGACAGACUAUUUGCCGCUCCUUAAACCUAAGUGUUGUAUCAAAACGAACCAAGGACCUUUUAAGAGACAGCUCCAGAGUAUGAUGCGGUACCUUACAUAAUUGUGGGCUCACUAAAUAAAUGGUUUUUAUGAGACAUAGUUUUUUUCCUAGUUAAAACUCACUGGAUUUGGAUGCAUAAUAAGACUCCAAUAGCGUUAACCUAGACAGUCUCGGAAGCCAACUGCCUCACAGAAGAUUCGUGGUUGCAGGAAAGAGAUGUCAGCCGAGAGAUGAAGAGUAAGUCAGGGCAUAACCAUUCCCUGUUUUGGGGACUUUGGGGAACACUGGAAGCUCUGCAGUUUCUAAAUAAAGGGGCUCUGGGGCUGGAGUCUGGAAGGAAAGCGAUGAGAGACCAGGAGACGUCUUCAAGCAGCCCUUGGAGAGCCAGCACACUGUUCUUACCCAGAGGGCGUGUUUAUUUGGGGGAAAGGGUCUGGCUUUGGGAGGGGUUCAUGGAGAGUCCGAGGCGUUCUAACAGGUGGUGCUCUGGAGGCAUUCCAGAUCACACCAGACUCCCAGAUGCCAAGAGUCCGAUGGACUCAAGGUUUGAGGUGAGUUGAAGUGAGGUUUGACAAUACAUUCUCAAGUGAGUUAAUUUUUUGAAGAGGAAAGAAUAGUAAGAUUUUGGAGGGAAAAAAAAAAUCUCAUCUAAGAGGAAGGAAAUAAAAAAGAAGAGUAGGGAAUGGGAGGGUAAAAAUGAAAAAUUUUACAUUUUGAGGUGUUCUAAAACUCUGUGUAUGUCAAGACUAGUCACUAGCACAGGCUUCUUUGUUAGAAAAUAAGUUAAGGAGUUUUCCUAUUCAUUUCCAGUGAAUACUUCAGGAUAUCACCAGAUACUAUUAUUUGACUUACAUCAAAUGGCUUUUCAAAGUUAGGCCCAGAGUUCAUGCAGUGCUUACUUUUUUAGGUGGCUUUAUGAUCGCUAACCAGUUUAGAUCAAAUUCCUGGCAGGCACGUGCUGUACUUAUGGCCCGGCGGGUUUAUGGAUUAGGGAGCAAGUCAUUUGUGUAGCGUAGGCCGCAGAGCUGGGCUGAGACCAUGGGGUCUCAUUGCUUUUCACAUUUGCCCAUGGUAGUUUUGUCUUGAAAGUCUCUGUUUUCUAACUGCUCUUAUAAAAUGUUUGAACUUUAAAUCUUGGAGUUGAUUUAGCAUCUGUAUAAUUGAUUGUAGAUUAUAUUUCGUGGAUAUGGCCCUGAGAUUUUGACCUGUUUAUUUCUUUGAAAAGAACUACAUGUGAUUUGCUACUCAGAUGUGCAGGCAUUUCUUGACUCAAAUAUCUGUGACAUAAUCUUCGUAACUAAAUCUGUGAAGCUGUUUUGAAUUCUUUGGACUUGACAGUUUGAGGCUGGGGUUGGCAGUCUGUAUGACAAGAGUGCCGGGGGUGGCCCACGGGCCAGUUAUCCUGGAACAGCCAGGGGGAGGGAGGUGUUGCUGUCUGAUCCCCUCCCCCAACUUUCUUAGAGUUUGCCACCCCCCCCCCCACCAAUCCUUCCUCCCCUCCUCCUCAGGACGUUUAAAAAGCUUCCUGUGCUUUAGAGAAUUAAGACACUUAGUGUUUUUCUUGUGUAAUCACACUAGCACUUGGCGACAUCAGUCUUUGCUCUCCCGCGUCUCUCCAGGUUCCUUUCUUCCAACUUCGGGUAUUUCUCUUUCUCUCACAGCUGCACAUCUAGCUUCUCCUGCUGACUCCUGAUUGGCCAUAGCCCCCAUGUGGAUUUCCUUUAUCGUCCUUUCUCCACAUUUUCCUCUUCUUCCUUUGCUGGUUAGAAGUUCUGUUUCUGUGCUGUGGCAGAUCUUACUUAGUUUGAUAGGAAGAGUAUUGAGGUAGGAUAGUUUUAAUAACUGUGAUAAUGAUGAGUGGGUACCUAUCUCUUUGGAUACUGAGCUUGGUGCUUAUAUUCUUUCCACUGAAUUCUAGUUCCCACUAGCUAUAGAACCUUAGGAGAGUGUCCAAGUCUGUGCCAUAGGCUGCUCAUCUGUAAAAUGAGGGGUUGGGGGAGCAAGGUGUUUCUCGCCCUAAAAUGCCGUGGUUGAGUUUAUUCACAUUGUGGUCUGGUUGUAAACUCUCAUGAGAAUACUUGUGGAGCUUUUUGAAAGACACCUGUUAAACAAGACUGGUCUCAGUGCAUCAGGACAUCCAGGACUCCCUAAAUUAGGUCAUCUGCAGUAUGGCUGGCCAUCUUUUUCCUUUAGGAGUUAGGGAUGGCUCUCAAGGGCACCCUUCUCCAUACUUGUGCUGUCUGCAUCAGAAGACCCAAAAUUGAACCAGAACUGGAAAGGCUGUUGACCGUGAUUUGGAAGACCCUGCUGCUCUCAUCUCCACGCUGGAGGCCCUGGGCUUCUAGAGACGUCCUUUCAUUGAUGGUAUUCAGACCACUAGGGGAGUUUCUGGGAACCUGCUUAAUACUUGUAUUAAUUCUUGUACAACUCAGGAAAACAGUCCUACCUCAGAUCUUUCUCUUGCAAAAUUGUGUGUGGUCUGUGACCUUGAGUGCUUGUUUCCUGUUUCUAGGGAAAUUUUUGUUAGUAUUGAGUCUUUUUGUAAUGUUCACAACUACCUCAAGCUACUUAUCUGUACCUUGUCAAGGCCACUGACGAUUGUUUUGCUUUCUGCUUUUAUAUUGAUGUAUCAUGCAUUCAUUGCACCUAUUGUCCGUUUUCUAAAAAAUCUACGAUUAUCUUCUUUUGUUUUUUUAUGUUCCCGGCAAGGUUAAUCGUUGCUAUGCUAAGAACACUCACUUCAUCAGCUUUGUCCUUAGUGUCACUCGUAUUCCUUCAGCUUUUCCUAUUGUUUAGCUUUUCAAAAUCGUGUAAUACCUACUUUUUAUAGGCCCUGUCUAUUGUGAUGGCUCUUCAGUCUUCAGUGAUUAUUGCCUAAAAAUGCAGGUCGGGGAUUCGGGACCAGGGAGCUCUCUUGCCACUUUUCUUCCUUAGAAGCAGAAGCAAGCCACACCACCAAGCCUCCCUGGAAUGGUACUUCUACUCAGUUCUUGGACUGAGGGAUGAAAUGGGAUUUUACCUCACUUGUUUUCAGGAAAUCUUUUCACUGCACCUUAUUCACACUGUUCAGGGUUAGAAGAGAUGGAGUACUUUACCAUCUGGAGUUUCUCUGCCUCGUUGAUGAUGGAAGCGCAAACCUACCGGUUUAUAGGAGAUGAUAGAUAACACCUUGUAACGUCUGAGUUGCAAAAAUAUCUGCCUCUAAGAACUCAGGAGGACCGACUUUGUGGGAGCAGAGAUAGUGAGUCAAAGCUGCAGGCUUGGAGAGGAGCGUUCGUUUGAGCCUCUUCGCUCAGUCGGGAGAUUUCCUAGGCAACCGUUUAUGUGGUCGUUAAAGGAUGGGGAACUCAGAGGUCUCUUGGAUGGCUGGAAGGAUACGGGAAACGUUUCUCUUCCUCUGUGACCCACUAACACUCCCAGACGUUCUGUAGCACGGACUUGGAUUACAUUCUAUUUCAAUGAAUAAGGUGGCUUUUUUCAUGCACCAGUGAAAGAGGAAAGUCCUACAGGUUAUGUGACAGAUUCAUUUUCGCUAGUGUUAGCAAUAAUCUGAAAAGAACCAAAAUAUUAAAAUAUUGGCAGUGCUGAUUUUAAAUAGGGUUAUGUUAUGAUCCUGGCUCAGGUGUUGUGUGGAACUGUUAAACGUAAGAUGAAAUAUAGAAAAUGGCCUUUCUCUCCCAGAGACUGAGAGGGCCUGCCCCUGACCCUGAGCACCUGUGGGCGUUAUACGAACGUUUGGAGCUUCUGGCCUCAAUAAAGCAAAUUUUUUCUUUGGAUGCUCCUGUUGAUUCCCUUCUACCACCAACGACUGUGAGACUCUCCUGCUUUAGAGAUGUGGUGGCUUAAGUUAGGAGAACUUUGUUGUUACGGUUUUUCCCUCUUCCCUAGGUUCCUAGAUCUGUGCAAGAAAUUGUGGUGGCAAAUCCUGGUCCAGAGCCAGGACUUGGCACUCUCUUUUUUCCUCUAUAGCAAAGGUGCUGACAAGUCCAAAAGGAGAGACAUGCAAAUAAGUACUGUUAAAGCGCCUCUGAACAGUCCCUUGGAGGAGAAGAGCCAUGAAAUAGUUCUUUAGUAACGUCAAAGGCUGCGUCAUAAAUGAGUUCAUCUUUGAACCUGUGACAAAAUGUCGGAAGAUGGAAAGAUUGUAAACAUAUACCAGAUGCCCACAUCUUCAAUAUAAGUGACGUGGAAAUGGAUUUCCAAUUUGGAGGCAAACCUUUGUUUCUAAUUGGUAUAAGACCUGAUAAAACUUGACAUUUAAAAAAGUCUAAUAGAAAUAUUAAUUUGCUUAUACUCUGUCAGGAUGUGGGUAAAUGUGUGACCCCUUUGAACGUUCUAAUACGGAUUUCCCAAUCGCUGAAGGUUUUAUCCUAGGUAGCCUGUAGUAACCUUUAAAAAUAGUUUACUAGGGGCCGGCCCCGUGGCCAAGUGGCUAAGUUUGUGUGUGCCGCUUCACUGGCCCAGGGUUUCGCCUGCUUGGGUCCUGGGCGCAGACAUGUCACCACUCAUCAAGCCAUGCUGAGGUGGUGUCCCACAUGCCACAACUACAAGGACCCACAACUGGAAUAUACAACUAUGUACUGGGGGGGCUUUGGGGAGAAGGAAAAAAAAAGGAAAUAGUUUACUAGUAUUUAUUUUUGCAAGGGAAAGAUUGAUUUCUUUAGAAUUAAAUAUUGGCAGGAACUACCUGAUUCGGUAGAUUAGUUUUAUCAUUACAAAGAUAGAAAAUUAUUCCGAAGGUGGGGCUGGUGGUGCCCAUGCUGGGCACGGCUGCACUAGAUCUUUCUUCUCCACCUUCCUGUAACAAACAACCCGUGCUCUUUUGGGCAUCAGCCAUGUGCAUAGCCAUCCUUCUACCCACUUUGUGACCAUUAUCUGCUGGCUUUCUCAUUACCCUCACUCACCAUUGAUGACUGCCUCAUUGUUCUCCACCAGCCCCACCUUCAUUGGAUGACCCAUGUAUUUCCCUGACUACAUGGAUUUUGGGGCUCGUAUCACCAGCAAUCUUCUCCCCAACUUGCUAUAGCUCCCCCCCCCCGAUCUGCUCCUGGCUCAGGUCAGUAAAUCAGAAAUUCCCUGUCUGACCACACUGUCCUGUCCAUCCACCUUGUCCCACAGAGUCCCACCUCUCCUUUGAUCUCACUGCGACCUCUAGUCUACUGACUCCUUUGCUCUGUACCUUUCUGUUUUUAUUCCCCUCCUGAUCCAACGUAGCAGCCGUGGUCCAGGUUUUAAAUCACUCUCUUUCCCUACGCUUCUUGAUGGUUUUGUCCUUUGGCUUGCACCUGGGCUACUGCGCAAUGCUGGAGAAAGUCAUCCAGCUGGGCAGAUGGGUGCCUGUUGGCAUAAAUUCAGGUGCACCCAGCACUGCACAGCACUUGCGCCAUGUUAUUCUGGUUCGCUGUCAUCCUGAUUCUUCAUGGUGACCCUUGCUACACUAGCACACUCUCGGAACUUAGGCUGCUUCUCCUUCCCCCUUCCUCUUGUCAGAUGAUACUCUCCUGCCAGUAGUGUCCUCUAUCACACCUACCACUGAGCUUUCUCUGUCCCUUGGCAUCCAUGACCUGAUGACCUCCUGGUCUUUUUUCUACCUUUUGGACUGUGUUAGUCAUCUUUGUUGGUUUCAUCUCCGUCAAACUGACUUCUGUCAAAGGGCAAGUACAGAUGUCUGUUUUCUCUUUUAAGUACAGCAGAACAUUUUUGUGCUUCUGUCCUUUGCCUUCUGCUGGAGGAAUAUUGGAAUGUAUUGUAGAGUGCAGGCCCCUGACUCUCCUGCUGUGUGUAUGAGUCCUUGCGGGGGCCAUGGGACUUCACUCUGUGCUCUUUAUGCCAAGCCAUAUGCAGUAACCGUCUCCCUGGGCUGCUGGAUAGUUCUACACUCUGCUGAAAGAGUCCCUGAGGGUUUACUCUGCGUCUGUGCGGGGGAAAGUUUGAUUGGCAUCUUUCAGAUUAGAAAUGGGCAGGAAUUUCCCGGGUAGAUCGGUUUUAUUAUUACAGUGUUCUAAAAGUGUUGUCUUCAGCGGGGCUCGCCAGUGCCUUUGCAGAUUAUUGAGGUGCAGUGAGGUGAGAGUCUGGGCCCCCUCUUCGUCCAAGUAAACCUCAGAUCUGUGCAGUUCUACAGCUCCGUGUGUGGAUUCUCUGACCCGCUGUUGGGGGCUUGCUGCCCGCUUUCCUGUUGCGCUGGUGAAUGCUGCCACCCCGCCUGCUGCCUCUGCGCAGCACCUUACUCCUCGCAUCUUUUUUUCCAUCUUCUUUUGUCUCAUCUCUUUGGUUGGCUUCCACAUAGAAAUAUGAACAUUUAGUAGACAGUAUCCAUUGAUUUGUUAGUUAUUUAGUUCCAGAGCUGGGCAUUUGGGGAUGCAAAGAUUAUGAGAAUGACACAGCACUGCCCUCCUGGUGAUCAGAAGGGAGGAACAUCUAAAUGUGUAACUCCAGUAUAUUAUAAUAAAGUUUUUGCUGAGCAUUUUACUUACAUAAUUUCCUAUAAUCUUAAAAAAUAAACCCUGUAAGAUUGCUGCUACUAUCCUUAUUGUACGGAGGAGGAAACCGAGGCUCCAAGGAAGUGAAAUCAUUUGCUCAGGGUCGCUUAAAGAGCAAGCUCACACAGUGGGAAUACUGUCUGAGUUUGGGUUGCAAAGCUCCUGCUCUUAGCUACUGUGAAUACAGUUUUUCUCCUCUCCUGCAUUGCCUCUUUGAAAGGGUCGGCCAUAAGCAGUAGAAUUCAAGAUAUAAUAAUGCAGCAUUUACAUACUGACUAUUACCUUUAAGUUUAUCGUGAGGAGUUGGAGAACUAACCAGCUAACAGGCCUGUGUGCUGGUAUUUUAUUCCUGCACUGGUUUCAGUAUGACUGAUGGAUGGCAGGAUCCUCACUCUGCUUGAACAUUGUACUGCCUUUAUUCAGUUAAGAGGGCAUUUGUUAUCACUAUGAUUCUCAUAUGCAACGUAUUCCCACCAAAAUAUUUUAUUUGCCCCUCUGUUACCUUCUUAAGAGCCAGCUUCAAACUUAUGCCUUAAAAUACUUCACGGCUUUGAAAUUAAGUGCCUUACGUCAGAGAGGGAAAAAAAGAUAAGGUUAUCUAUCAUAGAGGGUAUAGGAACGACUUCAUAGAUCCCUGAAGAUAAUAAUUUAAUUGUAAUAGUCCAGUUCAACCAUUACACUUGGCUGGAAACUAGCACCUCUUCCUUCGGAGGAACCUGAGCUGCCUGUGUCCUGGCUGGGCCUGGAAUGCUGCUGUGGACCAGGCUCCACUUCUCUUUGGAUUUCCUGUGUUCUGAUCCCAGUAGUUCCUGCCCUCUCUCCCACUUCGACUCCUUUUGUUUUUAUUGUUCACUCUAGACAAGCAGUUCGCAGAUUAUCCUGAGAGACUGUUGUGUGAGAACUGUUUGUUAAUUUAUUCAGUAAAUAUUCAUUGACCUUGACUGCGAGCCAGCACCAUGCUGAGGGCUGGGGAUCAAAUAGGGCACAAAACAGCCCCUCUGCCCACUGUGAGCCUUGCUCUGGGGUGGGAGGCGCCCAAUAUACCAAGAAACACGAGAUACGGUGCCCGGUGAUGGUAAAUGAUGUGAGGAAAGGUCAGAAUGAGUAAGGGGACAGGGAGAGCUCAGCGUGGAAGGGCCUGCUGCUGGUUUAGCUGAGUCAUCAGAUCUUUUGAGGAGGUGACAUUUAACCCAAGACCUGAGUGUCUUGGUCAGUUUGGGCUGCUGUAACAAAAAUACUGUAGACUGGGCGGCUUAACAACAGACAUUUCUUUCUCACCGUUCCGGAGGCUGGAAGUCUGACAUCAGGAUGCCAGCCUGGGCCGGCUCUUGGCGAGGGCUCUCUUCCUCCCUUCAGAUGGCUGCCUUCUUGCUGUGUCCUCACGUGGCAGAGAGAGAGAUCGUUUCUCUUGUGUUUCUUCUUAUACGGGCACUGAUCUCAAUCAGGAGGGCUCCACCCUCGUGACCUAAUCACGUCCCAAAGGCCCCACCUCCAAAUACCAACACCUUGGGGGUUACGGCUUCAAAAUCUAAUUUCUGGGGGACACAAACAUUCCGUCCAUAGCCCUGAGUGAAGUGAGGAAGAGCAUUCCAGGCACAGGGCAUUGCAAGUUCAAAGGCCCUGAGAUGAGACUGUGCUUGGCAAGUCAGAGCAACAGCUCUGUCAGCCCCGGCGUCGUGGCUGGAGGAGAAUGGGCCACAAAGGGAAGAGCGUUGGGAAAUGAAGUUGGAGAGGUACAGGGGGCCAGUCCGUGUAAGGCCAGGGAGGCUGUGAUGGGCAGUUUAGGUGUGAUUCCCAGGGGCAUGGGGAGCCUUCCUGAACAGGGAAAGGUGUGUUAGGACUUUCAAUUUUAAAACAUCACUUUGGAUGCUAUGGGGCUGGGAUGUUGGGGCCAAGAGUGGAAGCAGGAUGUGGUCUAGAAGAGGUGAUGGUGGCCUUUGGGAGGUAAUUAGGUUUGGGUGAGGUCAUGAGAGAGGGGUCCUCAUGAUGGGAUUAGUGUCCUUGUGAGAAGAGGAAGAGAGGCUAGACCUCCCCCACCCCCACCCCCAGCCAUGUGAGGACACAAGCCGGGAAGAGAAGGAAGAGAGCUCUCACCAGAAUCCGACCAUGCUGGCACCCUCAUCUUGGACUUAAAGCCUCUGGAACUGUAAGAAAUAAAUUUCUGUGUUUUAAGCCACUCAGUCUGUGGUAAUUUGUUAUAGCAGCCCAGGCAAAGAUAUCUUCCUUGCCUAUUUAUUUGUUUAAUAAGUUGUACAUGCCAGUUGGUACAUGUACAAAGCUAAAUAAAUCCAACACUACAGUGGGAUGUGUAAAGUUGAAGUAAAAGUUUAUCUUCCUCCUUCCCAAUCGCAAUCCCUUUGAGAGAGCCAUUUACCAGUUUGAGGGUUAUUCUUCCAGACCUGUGCCAUCUAAUGAGGUAGCCAUCGUCACCUGUGGCUAUUUAAAUUUAAAUUAAGUAAAAUUAAAUUAAGUAAAGUUAAAUUAAUUAAAAUUAAACAUUCACUUCCUCAGUCAUACUGGCCAUAUUUCAAGUGCUCAGUAGCCGUGGAUAACUAGUUAACACCAUGUGGGACAGUAUAGAUAGAGAACAUUUCCAUCAUCACAGAAUGUGCGAUUGAACACUGUUUUAGAUGAAUUCUAUUCAUAUACAAACAUGUAUAUAUAUGCAUAUAUAGGCACAGUUGGCAUAAUAUUGUACAUAAGCUUCUGCAAUUUGUUUUUUCCACUUAACAGAGAAACUGUUAAUUUAGUGUGAUCCACACGUAACGUCAUGCCAGGAAAAUUUUAAAACAGUGCAUAAUCAAACAUAGAGUUUUAGUAAAUUUAAACCUUUUUUAAUUUCAGAUUUUAGAGGUCAUUGCAACAUAUCCUUAAUGCUUGUUCCAGCUUUAACUAAAUAAAUUAUUUUUGGAAAUAGUCCACUCAGCCUUGGGUGUGUAAGGAAAGAAGAUUCAAGAGAUCUAACUUGAGCUUAAUGUACUGUGGUUACCGUACAUAUUCACACACACAUAUAUUUCCUGUUGUUCCUGUUUUUUAACAGGAAUUGUAAUCUUUCUGUUUACUCACUGUUUGGUCGACCAGCAUUGUCCAAAAUGGUGGCCACUAGGCACAUGUGGUGGUUUAAGUUAACAUUAAAUUAAAUUAAAAAUUCAGUUCCUCAGUCAUACUAGCCAAAUUUCAAGUGUUCGUUAGCCGCGUAUGGCUGGUGGAUGUGGAGAGUUGCCAUUUUGCACAAGGUUCUAUUGAACAACACUGCACUAGAAGCUUUCUUCAAAAACAUUUCUCAUUAAAUACAGUGAUUUUUCCACAAGUGAGGGAUGGGAGGCUCUGCCCAGGAGGACAUGCCGGAGUUUCUGGGAGCAGGUGGAGAGCCUGCACUUUUCUGCCCUUCCCACUCAAGAUUUUGAUCCGUCCCUCUGAAGACGCAGGUCCUCCAACUCUGUUGAGGAUUGGUGUUCCAUAGUAAGUUAAUUGUGGGAAAGAAAGUUGGUACCAGUAGCUUUUCAAGGUUAGAAUGUUACUUUAAGUGACGAUCGGUGGUGUACACACACUAUUAACUAGCACCUGUAUAUACAGUAAAUGUCACUGCUCAAUUUAGAGGAGAAAGUGUUUAGUAACUUUAGUUACAGUGAGUGCUGAGAAAAAGUUACGUUUAAGCUUUUUAAAAUGAAGAAAGAAUAGAAUAUUGGAAAUGUGUCCUUUUGUGCAAAACAGGAUAUAUUUAUGUUAGAAAAUAUGUAAUCUGGACGAAUUAACUGGUAACAGUAAGAAUAGUUCCCUCUGGGAAGGGAAAUAGUACAAGAAGGAGACAGAGGUAGAACGGAGCAUGACUUUUUCACUAUAUGCCUUUUUCUUUAUGCAUCUUGUAACUAUGUGCUUGUGUUAGUAAAAAAAACCCAAUCAGUAGACUAGUGAAGGAAAAAAUAAAACAGAUCCUUCAAAUGUGCAGGAUGCAGAAUAGAUUGUUUAGUAGGUAAGGGUCACUUAGGACAGAAAGAAUUAUUCAGUUGAGUAAAAGCAGAGGACUGGCCAGAGGUUGCAUGUGACCAUCAGAUGAACUUCACAAGGCCUCCUGGCACACCAAGACCUAGGGCUGGCACAACAUUUCUUACAAGCUGGUUAUUUUGCAGCAAUUAAAGCCAUUUAAAACUGUUUUUAUGAACAUAAUUUGAUACGUUUUAGAAGAAAAAAUAUUCCUAAUACUGAAUUAUUUUUUUCAUGCAAUUUCUAUUGACACUUGUGGAACACAGCUUAGGAAAUGUUGAUUUCAACUCUUGGAAAUAAUUAGCCCAGAAAGAUGAGGUUGAAAAGAAAUUGUCUUAGGUCUGGAACACCCUUCUUCCGCUCUAGUCUUUCAAGAAGAUGAAUACUGGUGUUAAUUGAGUUUAAUUUGAAUAGUGAUGCACCCUAGCUUAUUCAGCACAUACUGCCUACACAGGAGUCACAUAUGCACUGAAUACUUAAUAGUCCACACUGCCCGUUCUCCUGCCCCAUCCUUUGCUUCCAACUACUAUCGGUGACCAAGAGAUGGGAACGUCCAGCAAUGUGGGGGCAUGGGCGGUGGGGACAGAGCUGCUGUCUUCCAUCCUCAAGUCUCUGUAUUUCAGCUUCCAGAAGAUGACAAUAUGAAAAAUGGAGUGCCUGUAAAGUAAAAAUGAAGUGUUAAUUUUUGAAAACUGAACCCUGUAAUUCAGCAAAGUUGACUCUUUUUUCUCUUAAAGCAAGUUGCUAGGAUCUGUACUUUUUCAAGAAAGAAAACUAAGGGAAAACUAAUGAGUUUGGUAAGUUAUGUCCUAGCUGCGUGCAUUACAAAGGAAAUCUGGUUUGUUAGGAAAGUUUAAGGCAGGACUUCCCAAAGCAAGGGUAAUUUUUCAGAAUAUUUAACAACCUGUACAGCAUAGGAAUCCAGACAUUUAGAGUCGAUGCCAGCCUUCAGUAACUGGUGUGGCUGUACCAGUGUAUACAGACUGAAUGUUACUCCUGCCAAAAGGUAAAGCCAUUUGAGAUGGGAGAUGAGCCGUUACUGGCUUUGUGGCAGAGCCUGCUGGUUGUCCCCCAGUCUCCGUAAAUGCCUGUCUUUAUAGAGUCCCUGGAGCUCUACUUCAUAGCAGCUUUAUGGCCAUGUGACUAAAUUCUGGUUAAUGGCAGGUACCUUAUGAUGUGGUCCUUUCUAGAACCUUCCUUAAAGGACAAUAUGUGUCCCCCCUUGCCCUUUAUCUUUGUGUUUCCUAGUCUGCUGCCUGGAACGUGGAUGCCACCAUCUUGGACCAUGAAGUGGAGGUCACAUGUGUUGGAGCAGCAGAACAAAUGGGAUAUCACACUUGCCUUCCCCGACUUUUUCCUGAGAAGGACAGACGCUUCUCUUGGUUAAGCCGCUGAUACUUUGGGCUUCCUUUCACUCUCAGCCAAACCUGAUUCUAACUAAUGUAGGUCUCUAAUCUGCUAGGCAGAUUCAGUUCUGUCUUGUUUAGAACUCCCAACCGUCCUGUGAGCUAGGUAGGUAUUCCGGUUCUCAUUUAAUGGAUUGGGCGACUGAGGUUAAAUAAAAGUUAAGUACCUUGCCCACACACAGCCAGCCGGAGCCAGCAUUUGAAUCCAUAUUUGAUCUUUCUGACUUCAGAUCGCCAAAAGCUUAAUCCUCGCUUUAGUAAUUAAUACGAAAUGUAAAGGAGGGCAUGUGCCACAUGGUUUUGUAACAUUCACGCUUUGGCAGAGCCCCAAAUUUGUGGAUUUUUAAAAAAGACGUUGGGUUUUUCAGAGAAACUCAUUUGUGGCUUUUUGAAAGUGACAAACAUGUUAACUGUUUUUCAGUCAAUAAUACUUAUCAGAAAAACUUUUUUUUUAAUUUCAGGGAAACCUGUGUUGUUCCUCUGAUUUCCAGUAUUUGCUUAAUUGUCGUUUGCUAAUUAGGACAUUUCUGUGAAAAGAGAGUAGUUUGAGGAGAGAUUUUAUGGUUCAUUUUCUUUAGCUACUAUUCUCCGCUGAAGAAAGUUUCAAGAAAAUUUGGGAUUUUUUAGAAUUCUGCUUACCACUCUCACAUUCCCCAUAUGCAUUAUGUGAUAAUGUAGAAAUUAGGAUGAAGGUUAUAAGUUAUUUGGAUUGUCACAUGGAGGCAACCCCUGCAGCCAGCAUUUCCGCAAAAUUUAGACAUAGAACAGAGACCUGAGAUGGCUGUGUGCCUCACUGCUCAGGGCUUGGGAGGAGUGGGCAGGCUGGCAACUGAUGCCUGGAGGGCAGGUGGGGCCCAGCGGAUCUGGGGCGGCUGGUAAACUGGGUCCAGUGCAAACAGCUACUUGGCAGCACAACCUGCAGAAAAGACAGGGAUCUUGACUUGCUGCCAAGGUUCCUGGUGGUGCCCCGGGUAAUGGUUCAAGUCCAUUCAUUUUUGUCAUCUCAGAGUGGACACUUAAUUGGGUAGAACAGCAAUCUCUGCGUGUAUUCCUGGGAACACUGGACUGCAGGAUUUGCUGUAUAAAAAAGGAUUCUGUGGCAAAUAAGUUUGGAAAACUGCUGUGUUGUAAUAUCUCUCUUGAAAAUUCACAGUGCACGCUUAGCAUUUUAAAAGCCUAAGAUGUUAAGAAAUCUAUUUAAAUUUGUUUAACUCAGUUUCUAAAACUUAUUUGAAAAUGGAAAUUGUCUUUUUUUAUUUAAUGUCCUCUGGACCGACUUCAUGAUUCUUUUAUUAAGCAGUUAAUAAUGGUCUUGGAAAUUGCUGUCGAGGAGGCUGACUUCCUGAGAAGAUGCAAGAUUUGAAUCUGACAACAUGGGGCUUUUCUUGGUGUCCCGUAGCUCGCAUUUGCUGGGCCAUAUUCUCUAAAGUUCAGGGCAUGCCUGCUUCUGUAUAUUUCGUAGAAGCAAAACUUGAAUGUUCAAAAGGCCCUUGGACAUCAUCUAAUUCUGUUGCCUCAUUUGUUGGUUGAUGCAACUAGGACUUGGACUUAAGUCUCUUGCCAAAGGCCAAACAGCUAAGAAGUGAGGACGCUGGGGCCAAGGUCUCUUAAAGUGCCUCUAGUAGGUUCUUAGUGGAAAUUACUUACUUUCAAGACAUUUUAGUGAUCUCUCCAGAUUGGAAUGGGAUAAGAGCAAAAGAGUUGAUGUUUGACUUCCUGCCAAGGUUUGGGAUAGGUAAAAUGAGCGAAAGAGGGAGUACCCGAGGAGGCAUAGAUGGUGCUCAAUAAAAGGGGAGCUGCGGAGGAAAGCAGGAACCCAGAACAGGAUUGUUCUGAAAAUUCAUUUUGUUUUUGUGGCUAAGAAUGAGUUAUAGUAAGCUGUCUUGGCAAGAGAAUGCAGAAAGUGGGUUACCUCUGCAUGGCACCUAUGCAGUGAACAGAUUAACACCUCAACAGACAACAUGGCAGUUUUUGCCAUAUUUUGUAGGCUGGAAGCUGCCUUGAGCGCAUCAGGAAGUGCUCAUUAGCUGCCACAGGUAACACUUGGCUGUUUUUUAUGGAGUUACGAGUUUGGAAAGAAUGAUUUUUGGAAUUUUUUUUUUACAAAGCCCCGGAGUAUUGACAUCAUUAGGGUCCAAAUUAUUUUGCUUUAAUUUAGAUUUUCUUUGUUUCGUGGUGAAGUCAGCAGACCUUUGCUCAUUGAUUGCUAAAUGCAAUUGGAUCCUUUUAUUGUUGUGAGUUCUUUUUCUGUUUUAUUUAUUAAGUGUCAGAAUGUCACCUAUCAUAGAUUUUUGUGGAGUUAAUCUUGAGUGUUUCUCUUACGUUUUUAUGAAAUACUGUCUACAGUCUUAGAAUGAAACAGUGCUGUGCAUCUCUUCCAUGCGGAGCUUUCUGUCUCCGCGUCUGCUUUUGAAGGUGUUACUUUCAGAAUGAAAGCUGUGCAUCUGACCUCGGAAUGUAAGGAUAUUAAGUUUGCUUCCUGACAGCCAAGAAGAUAAAAACCAUGAGGCUGCAGCAUCACUGUGUUUCUAUUAAAUAAGUCAAGAAAAUUCCUAUAAUGUCAAACUCUGGGACCCGAUUUCCAAAGGCUCUAGUCCUAUUGCAGCCUCUCAUCUCCUGUAAAGAGUUAAAAAGAGAAGAUUUGCCUCGGUAAACAGGCAGUAGCAUCACUGUCCGUUGGAACUCUGAGAAUAAGCUUAAAUUAAACCGAAAAUGCCAAAGAUGACAGAGUAAGUCUAAUUUCUAAAAGUAGGGAGGUUUUUUCCCAUGGCUUACCUGAGGGCUUUUAACAAGUAAUAAGGAACACUUAUGAUAAACGUAUAUAUAUAUAAAUUUGCCUUUUAGAGCAGUGUUAGGUUCACAGUAAAAUUGAGAGGAAGAUAAAGAGAUUUCCCAUAUACCUCCCAUAUCAACAUCCCCCCUAAAGUGGUACAUUUGUUAGAAUUAAUGAACUGCAUUGGCACAGCAUAAUUAUCCAAAGUCUUGGUGUUAUAUAUUCUGUGGGUUUGGACAAAUUUAUAAUGACAUGUAUCUAUUGUUAUAGUAUCAUAAGGAGUAUUUUAACUGCCCUAAAAAUCUCCUGUGCUCCCCAUAUUCAUCCCCCUCCACACCCCCAGCCUUGGCAACCACUGAUCUUUUAACUGUAUCCAUAGUUUUGCCUUUUCCAGAAUGUCAUAAAGUUGGAGUCAUAUGGUAUGUAGCCAGUAACUAUAUUUUGAGUCAGAUGAUUUUCCUCUUAUUUAUGUCUCAAGGGUAAUACAUGAGCGCCUAGUAUUUUACAGGCUUUAUCUGAUGCAAGAAAUUUCUCUAAUUUUUUUCAAGUAAUUGUGAGGAUUUUACAAUUUGGAGAAAAAGAUGGUUUGGUUUUUUUUUGCAUAUGACUGUUAAUUUUUUUUCUAUUGAACUGGAGCCAGGGGUGGAUGCACACACAGCUGCUUUCUCACAGGCUGGUCCCUCUACCUGUAUGCUCUCUCUCACUCCUGGAAUGACUAAUCAGCUCUCCUGGGCCUUGUUCAGACAACACCUGCUUGUGACAUCUUAUUUGACCCUUCUCCUCUAGCGUCUUUGUCCACAGUUUAGUCAUCGUACUUCUUCUCCUCUGAUGUAAUUAUUGACUUAUGUGUCUGUCUCCUUUCUAGACAGUGACUUCCUUAGAGACAGGGCCUGAGUUGUCUUCAUCUUGUAUUCCAGGUGGGGCCGAGCCCAAUAUCUGGAACAUAGUAGGUCUUCAGGAAUUGUUUGUGGGACUGAACUACCCCAUGUAGUAAAAUUGUGCUUUAGAAUUUUUGUCAUUAUAUCAAAGUGAUUUUUGUCUUUUUGACUUAGAAAUAACUCACUCCCUAUCAGAAUUGAAAAAAAUUCCUGCAAGUGCUCUUCUUAAUUACUUUUAUGAGUCUAGUGGGCUCUUUAAUCUUUACAAAAAUACCGCUGACAUUUUAUCUCAAUAUUUUAUUGUAUAAAUAUCUGUAUAUGGUAUGCUGCUAAUCCUGUGAUAAAACUGAGAAUCUAAAGUUUAUUUAUCAAUAGAAGAUUUAAGAAGAAACUGAGACAAGAAUCUUUGGUGCUUUGUAAUACAUGUAUAUAUCUUUAGGUCGUCAGAAUAUGAGGUGUUUUCCUGGAUUGAAUUCCCCUGAGAGAAACAUGGAUGCCAGUGCACAUAGUUUAUUUAGAAGGUGAAAGAAACACCCUGAGGCGAGUGAGAAGUGAGCAGGGAAGCACCAGUAGUGUGCCAUCGAGCAGGUCACCACUGUGGGCACUUGGAGCCCACCAUUGCUGGAGGCUCUGGGAGCCGGUGUAAAGAACAUCCCUCAGCGUGUCCCGUCAGAGGGAUGUAGAAACUGUGUUGUUUACCCAGCACCUCUGGUCAGCCCCUAUGGAGGGCUGCAGGAGGGUACUGGCAUUAAUUUCUGAUACUCUCCCUGCCGUGUGAGCCCCGUGGCCACGUGCAUGGCACAGCCCCCCAGCAGAGAGAUGCAGCGACAGGCCGACAGUGGAAAGUGUGCAGCCAGCCCAGAAAUGAGGUGGGGGCGGAGCUCUGCUGCAGGCAUCGCUGUGUGAUGGCUUGUUUGACAGUUCAGCCUUAGUCCUUUGAAUCAGGAGACAUCUGGAGAGAUUUUUGAACAGAUUUAAAAUUUAGAGAAAUAAGUAAGCGCAGUAUUUUCUCCUAUUUGAACUAGGGUAAUUCUUCCUAUAGAAGACAGAAGGUUUGUGAAAGAGCAUUGAUUGAGUGGCCUUACAACCCCCUGCUUGAACUUGGAUAACUGACUGCUCCUUCUGUCUUUGAGUUGCUCUAAUUAUUAUAACAUUUUUCCUUAUGUUGAGGGACAUCUGCCUUAUGGUGACUUUGACCUGUGUUUCUUCCUGGUUUUGUCCUCUUAAGCCCUCUGCAAGGAGCCCUAUCCAAGACCCCAGUGCAUAUGAACAUUUUGCUCAUUCUCAUUUAAUCUUCAUAAAAACCUGGCAGGAGACAAAUGGAAGAAACAGAAGAACUUUUAAUGAAACAGAAUAAACCACUGAACAGGAAUUGGGAAAACAACGUAGUGUGGUUUUCAUUGUUAGUCCUGGAGGAUUCCAAAAUCUGUGUCUGCAAAUAAGAUGAGCUGGAGCGACGUGCUGUGCCACUUGCUGUUUCUACUUGCCUGUUCUCCUAAUCGAAGUGAACCCCUUGCUUCCAAGACAAGCCCAGCCCGUGCUCGGGGACCCUCGUGUGACUGUUCCGUGCCCAUCUCUCAGAAUACUCCAAGCUCAGCUCCUCUGCCCGGGGUGGCAUCUCUGCACAUGCCCUUCUCUCUCCCUCAUCUGUCUACCUGCCAACACCUGCUCCUUCCUAAGAUUCAUCUCAGGAGACAGAAUUGAGCAAUGUUCUAAGAACAUGUUGUACUCUUUUGGGCACUGAGUAAAUGUAAUACUGAGAAGAUGCUCUAGAAGCUUGAAAGUGCCUCUUGGUAAUAGAGUCACCGGGAGAAGUGGCAGAAAGAACAGGGUAGAGAAGCUGGUCC